CUUAUUUCAAUUUUCUUUCACAAUACUAUUACACUAUAAUUAAAAUUAUUUUUUCAUUAAUCAUUACUAAAACAAAUUUUUUUAUAAUUAUUUUUAAUAAUUUAAAUUUUUAAAAAUAUAAAUUAAUAAAUAAAAUAUAAUCAAUUUAUAUUGAUUUGCACAAAAAUCUUUUCAAUGUAAAUGAAAUGCUUUACUUAAUAAGCUUUAAAUUGCAUUCUAGGUACACUUUCCAGUACAUCUACUAUGUUACGACUUAUCUUACCUUAAUAGUAAGAGUGACGGGCGAUGUGUGCAUAUUUUAGAGCUAAAAUCAAAUCAUUAAUCUAUAUAAUUUUACUAUCAAAUCCACCUUCAAUAAAUAUUUCAAAUUUAUAUUCGUAUAAAUAAUUUUAUUGUAACCCAUUUCUACUUAAAUAUAAGCUACACCUUGAUCUGAUAUAUUUUUUUAAAAAAAAUUAUGAAAAUUAACAUUCUUAUAAAAUAUUCUAAUAACGACGGUAUAUAAACUGAUUACAAAUUUAAGUAAGGUCCAUCGUGGAUUAUCGAUUACAGAACAGGUUCCUCUGAAUAGACUAAAAUACCGCCAAAUUUUUUAAGUUUCAAGAACAUAACUA
rnacentral:rRNA from 1 species